rnacentral:misc_RNA from 1 species
UCGCUGCUGAGCCAUCGUCGUCAUCGACGGCGGGGAGGGGGGCGCGUGCGUAUUCUACAACUUGUGUGUAACAGUAGCAGCGACCCCAUUCACACACACACACACACACACACACACACACACACGCACGCACGCAGGCACGCAACGAAAACCGCAGUUACAUAAGAGGAUUGCUGCAAGUUGUUGUUCAAUAUGCAUACGGUUCAUGAAGAAAACAAACAUACAGCAAGCGGAAGGGAAAGAAGACAAGGACGUAGCAGAGGCAUGGAGGAGGCGCGAGUGAUACCGGUGACGUGCCUGAAAGGCCUGAGAACACUCGGAGAACAGAAAGAAAAAAAAACCAUUGUGACAUUCUCCCCCUCCCCCUUAGUACAGAGGCGUGCCCGCGUACACCUCCGCGUCAACGCCGACAACGAUAUGAUGCGUACUUCAGAGAGAGGUCAGCAAGGCUUUGAAAGGUGUGUGUGAUGUGGUGGUGGGGAAGUGGAGGGUUACCGUUAUGUGCGCAUGCAACGACUGAUCGAGAGAGAGACCAUUAAAAAUGGGCACGCUCCAUCAUUGCUGUUUUCCUCUACCCAUCGCUUUUUCUUUCGUUGAUUUUUGUGCUAGUUUGUAUGCAUGAACAUGCCAUAUAGAUGCGCGUGUAUUCUGAGCUUGAUGGAGAACUACCGUUUUCUCUCUCAUUCUCUCACUGGCUCGCUCUUGUGUGUGCAUCGAGUAUGCUGAUGCGAAGCGAUAUCGAGGCGUGCGUGAGUGGGGUGCAUUCUCGUGUAAGAACAAAAGGAGAAGAAAUGCUCGCUGGAUGACGACAAUGAUCGGCAGCUCUUUUUCGUCUGUUUCACGUUUUUUUGUUAAACAAGCGAAACUGCGGCUUUCUUCUCUCCUUCCUACCUCCUCUUUGUUUGCUUCGCGAUGGAGGGUUGUACUCCUGGAACGCAGAAAAAAAAAAACAGACAACGCGACCCUGAUGGGGCAUCAGAUACACCGAUACGACGUUCAAUGUUGUCGCGUCGAAUCUGGUUGUCAGUGGGAAGAAAAGGGGGAGGGGUGCGGGCUCGUUUGCUUGUGAGCGCUGAAAACGAUUGCUUAAAGAAUCGAAAUAGGGUGGAGUAGUGGUGCUGCCCUGAGAGGGACGCGUGACGCACAUCUUUUACAGGUUUCUUCAGCGAUCGCCGGCCGCUUUUUUUUCUGCUCCGCACUUAGGCCUGAUGAGAUGGGUAACACCUCAGCGUAGCAUCUGCGGGCCCAUCAUCCACUCUGCGAGGAAGCCAGGCUGCCGUCCUCUCCCUGCUAGCGCCGAACCACUUCUGGUGGUGUCAGGGCCAGGUGCUUACGACGUACAAAGGUGAGGGCGAUUUGCCGCUACCGAUGUGGGCGGCCAGGUCCCCUGGAUGGCGCUGCGUCGGAGCGGCCGGUGACAACGAACGCGUAUCAUCCCCCUGAUGGGCAGAGUGUCAGCUUCACUCGAGUGUAUCCCAGCUGGUCCUCACUGCCCAUGGGUGGGGGCCCGAGUGACUUGGAGGGGUGCACCAGGUGGCGGCUGGCAGGGGGGGGCUGUGCGGCGACCUGCGGGGCAGACGGGUAGAGUGUGAGGCAGGGGCCGUGAUCUCAGCUGGCUGGGCCGGCGUAUUGCUGUAAUGUGUGUCUAGGUCUGCUUCGCGCCACGAGAUGGGAUCCUGUGACAGGCCGGGUAGAGUGGAGUUUCACUCUUGUUUUCUCGUAAAAUGGCUACAGUGAAG